GGGCAUGGAUUUUCUAUCUUAUUUGCACAACUCCAUAAUAAAAGCUGCUGUGGGGUCACUAGCAUCAAUGGGGAGAUUUCUCUGGCCGCUAUUCAAGAUGGAACAUCCCCGAGGUCUCACCCCUCCGAGCAAUCUUCUGUAGAGUCAUCCAACCCUUUAUGUGGGUGCUCAGAGCUCGACUUGCAGAGCCUGUCCAUGAUCCCCUGCAGCAUCGGUUGAACAAUCCCCAAGAGAGGGCGCUGGGAGGAGUCUCCAUCCCAGCAGGCUUCCAUCAGCUGCCAGCACUCCUCAUCGAACACUGGAAGUCGCUCCGGGCGAACUCCUGGAAAAUGGAGAGGGACCUGCUUACCACCAGUACACCGCAGAUCUCAGAGAAGCUUUUUCUGAUGCUUAUGGCUUUGGUGCAGGCUGAAGUGACCGAAGGGGACCAUCUGGAGUCUACUGCUCUCGAUAAAGGCUUACGUUUCAGCAGUGCUUCCGAGACAUCUUUGGGAGCACUGCUGAAGUCACUCAGGAGAUCAUGCACACUUCCAGAGGACGGCCAACACAUUUCGUUUCACCAGAGCCUCCUCUUUGCAACUAUUUGGGAGCAGAAUGAACACCCUCCCCUGUAAGGAGACCUCCCAUUCCACCCGCACAUAACAGUGCCUUUGGGAGCAAGUUCAACAUCAGAACAAGCAGCAAGUCCAGCCUUCUGACCAAAUACAGGACUCACUUAUCUAAGUUAAUCUUUUUCACAUGAGAAGGGGAAAGUUUAUAUGGACAGGAGCUAAGAACACAAAGGAGCAGAGCAUUCUGAUACCAUGACACAGCACGAAGGAUUAAGCUACCCCAAAACACAGUUCUACGCUAAACCUAAUGCAGGCAUAGCAGUAAGUUUGUAUUUUGGGGAACAACUAUCAACAGUGUUUUACUCAGCAUCCAGCUUCCUCAGCGUGCUGUGUAUUUAGCAUCUGAAUGUACAGAUCACCACGGCUUCCAGAAAUUGCAAAGGAUUAAACAUUCUUUAGGGGA